rnacentral:rRNA from 1 species
GACGAACGCUGGCGGCGUGCUUAACACAUGCAAGUCGAACGGAAAGGCCCUGCUUUUGUGUGGUGCUCGAGUGGCGAACGGGUGUGUAACACGUGAGUAACCUGCCCUUGACUUUGGGAUAACUUCUGGAAACUGGGGCUCAUACCGGAUAGGAGCUCCUGCUGCAUGGUGGGGGUUGGAGAGUUUCGGUCGUGGGGGAUGGACUAGCGGCUUAUCAGCUUGUUUGUGAGGUAGUGACUUACCAAGCCUUUGACGGGUAGCCGGCCUGAGAGGGUGACCGGCCACAUGGGGACUGAGAUACGGCCCAGACGCGUACGGGAGGCAGAAGUGGGGAAUAUUGCACAAUGGGCGGAAGCCUGAGGCAGCAACGCCGCGUGCGGGAUGACGGCCUUCGGGUUGUAAACCGCUGUCGCCUGUGACGAAGCGUGAGUGACGGUAAUGGGUAAAGAAGCACCGGCUAACUACGUG